rnacentral:rRNA from 1 species
AGAGUUUGAUCCUGGCUCAGGACGAACGCUGGCGGCGCGCUUAACACAUGCAAGUCGUACGGGGUCCUUCGGGGCCCAGUGGCGAACGGGUGCGUAACACGUGAGCAACCUGCCUGUGGGUGGGGGAUAACCCGGGGAAACCCGGGCUAAUACCGCACGAGGUCACCUGGCCGAUUGGCCGGGUGAUGAAAGGGGCUUAACGGCCUCGCCCAUAGAGGGGCUCGCGGCGUAUCAGCUAGAUGGUGAGGUAACGGCUCACCAUGGCUACGACGCGUAGCCGAUCUGAGAGGAUGAUCGGCCACAUUGGGACUGAGAUACGGCCCAGACUCCUACGGGAGGCAGCAGUGGGGAAUCUUGCGCAAUGGGCGAAAGCCUGACGCAGCGACGCCGCGUGCGGGAGGAAGCUCUUCGGGGUGUAAACCGCUGUCAGGAGGGAAGAAUGGGCACCCGAGGAAAUGCGGGUGUUUUGACGGUACCUCCAAAGGAAGCACCGGCUAACUCUGUGCCAGCAGCCGCGGUAAUACAGAGGGUGCGAGCGUUGUUCGGAAUUACUGGGCGUAAAGCGCGCGCAGGCGGCCCUUUAAGUCUACCCGUGAAAUGCCGGAGCUCAACUCCGUGCACGCCGGGGGAUACUGGAGGGCUGGAGACAGGUAGAGGCAGGCGGAAUUCCGGGUGUAGCGGUGGAAUGCGUAGAGAUCCGGAAGAACACCAGAGGCGAAGGCGGCCUGCUGGGCCUUGUCUGACGCUGAGGCGCGAAAGCGUGGGGAGCGAACAGGAUUAGAUACCCCGGUAGUCC